GCUGCUANUACAUGCAGUCGAACGAACUUCCGUUAAUUGAUUAUGGAGGUGCUUGCACUGAAUGAGAUUUUAAUAUGAAGUGAGUGGCGGACGGGUGAGUAACACGUGGGUAACCUGCCCAGAAGCAGGGGAUAACACCUGGAAACAGAUGCUAAUACCGUAUAACAGAGAAAACCGCCUGGUUUUCUUUUAAAAGAUGGCUCUGCUAUCACUUCUGGAUGGACCCGCGGCGCAUUAGCUAGUUGGUGAGGUAACGGCUCACCAAGGCGAUGAUGCGUAGCCGACCUGAGAGGGUAAUCGGCCACAUUGGGACUGAGACACGGCCCAGACUCCUACGGGAGGCAGCAGUAGGGAAUCUUCCACAAUGGACGCAAGUCUGAUGGAGCAACGCCGCGUGAGUGAAGAAGGGUUUCGGCUCGUAAAGCUCUGUUGUUAAAGAAGAACGUGGGUGAGAGUAACUGUUCACCCAGUGACGGUAUUUAACCAGAAAGCCACGGCUAACUACGUGCCAGCAGCCGCGGUAAUACGUAGGUGGCAAGCGUUAUCCGGAUUUAUUGGGCGUAAAGCGAGCGCAGGCGGUCUUUUAAGUCUAAUGUGAAAGCCUUCGGCUCAACCGAAGAAGUGCAUUGGAAACUGGGAGACUUGAGUGCAGAAGAGGACAGUGGAACUCCCNUGUGUAGCGGUGAAAUGCGUAGAUAUAUGGAAGAACAUCAGUGGCGAAGGCGGCUGUCUGGUCUGUAACUGACGCUGAGGCUCGAAAGCAUGGGUAGCGAACAGGAUUAGAUACCCUGGUAGUCCAUGCCGUAAACGAUGAUUACUAAGUGUUGGAGGGUUUCCGCCUCUUCAGUGCUGCAGCUAACGCAUUAAGUAAUCCGCUGGGGAGUACGACCGCAAGNUGAAACUCAAAGAUUGACGGGGGNCCGCACAGCGGUGGA
rnacentral:rRNA from 1 species